GACAGAGGGUGCAAACGUUGUUCGGAAUUACUGGGCGUAAAGCGCGUGUAGGCGGUCUGCUAAGUCUGAUGUGAAAGCCCGGGGCUCACCCCCGGAAGUGCAUUGGAAACUGGCAGACUGGAGUCCCGGAGAGGAGGGUGGAAUUCCUGGUGUAGCGGUGAAAUGCGUAGAUAUCAGGAGGAACACCGGUGGCGAAGGCGGCCCUCUGGACGGUGACUGACGCUGAGACGCGAAAGCGUGGGGAGCAAACAGG
rnacentral:rRNA from 1 species